UACGGAGGAUGCAAGCGUUAUCCGGAUUUAUUGGGUUUAAAGGGUCCGUAGGCGGGCUAAUAAGUCAGUGGUGAAAUCGAGCAGCUUAACUGUUCAACUGCCAUUGAAACUGUUGGUCUUGAGUGAAUUUGAAGUUGCCGGAAUAUGUAGUGUAGCGGUGAAAUGCAUAGAUAUUACAUAGAACACCAAUUGCGAAGGCAGGUAACUAAGAUUUAACUGACGCUGAUGGACGAAAGCGUGGGGAGCGAACAGGAUUAGAUACCCGGGUAA
rnacentral:rRNA from 1 species